GAUGAACGCUGGCGGCGUGCCUAAUACAUGCAAGUCGAGCGAACAGAUGAGUAGCUUGCUCCUCUGACGUUAGCGGCGGACGGGUGAGUAACACUUGGAUAACCUACCUAUAAGACUGGGAUAACUUCGGGAAACCGGAGCUAAUACCGGAUAAUAUAUUGAACCGCAUGGUUCAAUAGUGAAAGACGGUUUUGCUGUCACUUAUAGAUGGAUCCGCGCCGCAUUAGCUAGUUGGUAAGGUAACGGCUUACCAAGGCAACGAUGCGUAGCCGACCUGAGAGGGUGAUCGGCCACACUGGAACUGAGACACGGUCCAGACUCCUACGGGAGGCAGCAGUAGGGAAUCUUACGCAAUGGGCGAAAGCCUGACGGAGCAACGCCGCGGGAGUGAUGAAGGUCUUCGGAUCGUAAAACUCUGUUAUUAGGGAAGAACAAAUGUGUAAGUAACUAUGCACGUCUUGACGGUACCAAAUCAGAAAGCCACGGCUAACUACGUG
rnacentral:rRNA from 1 species